CGACCGGCGCACGGGUGAGUAACACGUAUCCAACCUGCCGAUAACUCGGGGAUAGCCUUUCGAAAGAAAGAUUAAUAUCCGAUAGCAUAUCAAUCCCGCAUGAGAUGAUAUUAAAGAAUUUCGGUUAUCGAUGGGGAUGCGUUCCAUUAGUUUGUUGGCGGGGUAACGGCCCACCAAGACUACGAUGGAUAGGGGUUCUGAGAGGAAGGUCCCCCACAUUGGAACUGAGACACGGUCCAA
rnacentral:rRNA from 1 species